CAGAGUUAAGCUAUGUCUCUGUGUUCGUCCUGUAAUUUUGAUUAUUUUCGGUUUGUUCAUGAUUUUUAUGAAAAUGAAACACGGUGCAUUGAAUUUUUAAGAGAACAUGGAGUGCUACCUGCAGCAGUACAGUGUUUAAAGUGUGGAAAGCCCUGUCAAUUCAGAAAUGAUAAAAACGUUUGGUGCUGUACCGGUUAUGUUUAAGACACUUUCACUAAUAUAGACAAAAUGUUUUAUUGCGUUUGUUACAACUGCAAUCUUGAGUAAGAUCAAUAAACGUUACAUAUAUACGCUAACAUCGUUCAAAUGAGUGCUGGGGAAGAUGUUGGAUCCUUGCCGGUCACGAAUGGCACCUCAGUCAGUCGACGCCAUAGUGGAUUUAAAAACUACCUUGAAAACAUAUUUUAUGAAGACCUCGCAUGCCUAUUUUAGUUCGUAUCGCUUUCAUAUGUCACAUUAUGUUGAUGAAACUUCAAUCAUUUGAAUGGUAUGCUUAAAGAUGCAAUUGUAUUCUUGUUUCACCAAUUAAAUAUAGUGAAUAAGGCUGAUCCACCCGAUGACGAUGAAUCCACUGCAGUGUUUCCCCCUAUAUUAUGCCAUAGUUUCUCACUCUGGUCCCCCGAAGUUGUAGGCUUUUAGUAAGAGUUCAGUAUUUGUACAAACGCAGACAUCCUAAUGAAUUGAAUGCCAUAUGUAUGUUCAAAAUGUACACUAAAACUUAAGGUAUUAUUUUACUUAAAACCAAUGUGCAAUUUGGAUUUGAAAAUAUUUACCUGUGUAUCAGUGUGUACUAUGUACAUUUCUGACAUUGUUUUCAUUAGCGAAUGAUUACUUUUAGAGGUAGUGGACCUCAACCUUACACCCUGUAAAUACACUUGGAAAUUUUGGCGUGGUGUGAAGGGGUGCGUCCCUUGGCACAAAGCAUGUGAAAUACGAGAUCCGUAAUCCCAUUGAUAUUUAUCAAUUCAGAUGAAGAGGUGACGUGAAGGAUGUGCAGGGAACUAAGCAGCCAUGAGAGCCAGUAUGUAAUUGAAGCCUAUAGGCGGGCCAGAACAGUUGUCCAUCGGGACUGAAGCUCUUAUCAGAGGGAGAAUGGAUGGAAAAACUAACUUGCAAUGAUGUUGAAUGGAAAAACUUACUUGCAAUGAUGCUGCAGGUAAAGUGGUGGAAAUUGGAGAUUUAUAUUAGAGAAAAGUUCUGGAACAGAAGAGGCUCUUGAUAAAGUGCUGCUAAUGAUGAUAUAACAGCUUGGAGUAUGAUGGACAGAAGAGGACUCCAAAUAUAGUAGGUAAAUAGGAAGGGCUUGAUUAACAAAAAUUGAGCUGCCAAGAAAAGAAGAAAACCAUCUCGAUGGGCAAAAAUACAAUUAUCUCUUACCCCCCCGUAAAAAAAAGGAGUUCAUAAUCAGCAUACACUAGAAAUAUGUGUAUGAAAAAUGACGCUUCCAAGUGUUAAGGAAAGUUGCUACUAGUUAGCAGCCAUAUUCUUUGACUGGAGAGAGACAUGAUGACAGAUGAACAGGCAACAAGGUGCGAAGAUAUGUCAAGGUUUUAAGGAAAUAAAUAUGGAAAGGUACAAAGGAAGUGGACAAGAAAUUGAAGAAGCUCAAAAUAAAUAUGGAAAGGUACAAAGGAAGUGGACAAGAAAUUGAAGAAGCUCAACUGAGAAUGAAAAGUUUAUUCAGAGACGAUGGUUUUGUCCUUCGAUAUGGAGAUUAUCAAAUGUAAGAAAAUGCCUUGCCACCAAGAUUGAACAUGCACAUUUUAUGCUGAUUACAGCAGUAUAGGUCAUUCAUUGGGAGGAAAUUCGCUACCUCUUUCGAAAGAAAAGAGGGUAUUAGCAGUGUAAAGAAAUAGUCUGGUAUAAAGAUGUUCACAGGAUAACUGGUGGCAAAAUCAAGCAGCAUUUACUUCAUUCUGAUGUUGUUACCAUUUGUUUUGAAGUUAGUUAAAAAAAGUUUCUCAUAAUGAGUGACCUUUUUACACUAAUGUAGUCAAUGUUGAAUAUACAUGCUUCAGUUUAUGUGGGGGAGGCGCAUUUGUUUACACAAGUGGUUCCCCUAUUUGUUUACACAAGUGAUUCCCCCUAACAAUAUUAUUUUGUAGAACCAUUUUAUCUUUGACUUUUUCUACUUCUCCGAGAUCAUGUAUCCCUUGAGGAGAGAGUUUUAUAUAUUUAAAGGAUAUAAAAGAGCAUUUUUACUAGUAGUUUUUAUUCAAAAGUUUGGUUACAUCAUUCAUUCACCUUCACUUACAAUACUGAGAAAAAUGUUGUACGUACUUGAUUUUAGACUAUACGUGGAAUGGGGGCAAAAUAACUUUUCUUCUUGCUGGCUUUACUUCUUUGUGUUCUCCCAUCCUAGAGAGAAAGGUCUCGUGCGACGAACUCAUACGGGUCCAGGGGACAAAGAACCAGCCCGAGAACUGAUGCACAUGAAGAUCAACACAGACUGGAACACAUUCAAGUCCAUAUUUGGAAGAUGUAGAAACACCUUUCUCGUUCUUAGAAGACACCCUGUCUUCUAACACUACUUGUACUUGAAGGGGAGAGUCAUGUCUGUAUUGGGAAGGUGAAGAAACAAGUCUCACUCUCGACCCCAUAAGUCUCGAAUUCCCCAACGGGAGGGGAGGAGGAGGAAAAGGCAAUGGAUGUUUUCCCUACAAAGCCUCCUGCUAGAAAUUCUGGGACACUUCCUUCCAAACACAAGAGUUUAUCCAAUCAACUAACUCUUGGAAGAGCAUUUCUGAUGGGUAGACAACCGACCGUGAUGGUGUCUUGGAGGAUGAUGGAAGUUAUGUCACGGCAGCAGGCAGAAGAGACAUCGCCGAAGCACAGACAGAUGUACCAUUGAGAAUGACGUCACGGGAUUCGUACUGGUAGCCCAAGUGAAGGGUCUUGGUGACAGUGAAGAUGGUGAAAAACGCAUUCUGCCGCCUCCCAAGGACAUGUACGUGAUGAAUAGUGAAGAAUAUCCAAGAAAUUCCAUUGUCGAAGAAAUAGGAAAAGAAGAUCGCCCCCAAUCGAACGUAGCAACUUCAAACUACGCAGUCAGCAGCCAUGGCAUCACAGCAGAUUACUGUUACAGAGAGAGAGAGA